GAUGAACGCUGACAGAAUGCUUAACACAUGCAAGUCAACUUGAACUUCGGUUUGGGUGGCGGACGGGUGAGUAACGCGUAAAGAACUUGCCUCACAGUUAGGGACAACAUUUGGAAACGAAUGCUAAUACCUGAUAUUAUGAUUUUAGGGCAUCCUAGAAUUAUGAAAGCUAUAUGCGCUGUGAGAGAGCUUUGCGUCCCAUUAGCUAGUUGGAGAGGUAACGGCUCACCAAGGCGAUGAUGGGUAGCCGGCCUGAGAGGGUGAACGGCCACAAGGGGACUGAGACACGGCCCUUACUCCUACGGGAGGCAGCAGUGGGGAAUAUUGGACAAUGGACCAAGAGUCUGAUCCAGCAACUCUGUGUGCACGAUGAAGUUUUUCGGAAUGUAAAGUGAUUUCAGUUGGGAAGAAAAAAAUGACGGUACCAACAGAAGAAGUGACGGCUAAAUACGUG
rnacentral:rRNA from 1 species